rnacentral:rRNA from 1 species
GAUGAACGCUGGCGGCGUGCCUAAUACAUGCAAGUCGAGCGAACGGACGAGAAGCUUGCUUUUCUGAUGUUAGCGGCGGACGGGUGAGUAACACGUGGAUAACCUACCUAUAAGACUGGGAUAACUUCGGGAAACCGGAGCUAAUACCGGAUAAUAUUUUGAACCGCAUGGUUCAAAAGUGAAAGACGGUCUUGCUGUCACUUAUAGAUGGAUCCGCGCUGCAUUAGCUAGUUGGUAAGGUAACGGCUUACCAAGGCAACGAUGCAUAGCCGACCAGAGAGGGUGAUCGGCCACACUGGAACUGAGACACGGUCCAGACUCCUACGGGAGGCAGCAGUAGGGAAUCUUCCGCAAUGGGCGAAAGCCUGACGGAGCAACGCCGCGUGAGUGAUGAAGGUCUUCGGAUCGUAAAACUCUGUUAUUAGGGAAGAACAUAUGUGUAAGUAACUGUGCACAUCUUGACGGUACCUAAUCAGAAAGCCACGGCUAACUACG